rnacentral:rRNA from 1 species
GGUCAAGCUAGAAAGAGCAUAGGGAGAAUGCCUUGGCAUUAGGAGCCGAAGAAGGACGUGACAAGCUGCGAUAAGCCACGGGGAGCCGCAAAUAGGCCUUGAACCGUGGAUUUCCGAAUGGGGAAACCCAACAGAAGAGAUAUCUGUUACUGUUAAGUGAAUCCAUAGCUUAACAGAGGUAACCCGCUGAACUGAAACAUCUAAGUAAGCGGAGGAAGAGAAAUCAAUUGAGAUUGCCCAAGUAGCGGCGAGCGAACGGGCAAGAGGCCAAACCAGUGGUAGCAAUACCAUUGGGGUUGAGGACUGUAAAAGGCACUCUUAACGUUAGAAGAAUUGCCUGGGAAGGCAAACCAGAGAGGGUGAGAGUCCCGUAUUUGAAAACGGAGAGAGGCUGACAGUAUCCAGAGUAGCACCGGACACGAGGAAUCUGGUGUGAAGCCGGGUGGACCACCAUCCAAGCCUAAAUACUACCUAAUGACCGAUAGUGAAGCAGUACCGUGAGGGAAAGGUGAAAAGAACCCCGGGAGGGGAGUGAAAAAGAACCUGAAACCCUAUGUUUACAAGCAGACAAAGGGCGUUAAAGCCCGAUGUCGUACUUUUUGUAGAACGGUCCGGCGAGUGUAUGUUACUAGCAAGGUUAAGAUAUUCAGUAUCGGAGCCGAAGGGAAACCGAGUGUGAAAAGCGCGAAAAGUUAGUGAUAUACGACCCGAAACCGAGUGACCUAUCCAUGGGCAGGAUGAAGCGUGAGUAAAAUCAUGUGGAGGUCCGAACCGACUUCUGUUGAAAAAGGAGCGGAUGACCUGUGGAUAGCGGAGAAAUUCUAAUCGAACUCGGAGAUAGCUGGUUCUCCUCGAAAUAGCUUUAGGGCUAGCCUCAUAUUAAUCUAACGGAGGUAAAGCACUGAAUGGGCUAGGGGCCUCACCAGGUUACCGAACCCUAUCAAACUAAGAAUGCCGUAUAGAUGAUGUAUGGGAGUCAGACAAUGUGAGAUAAGUCUCAUUGUCAAAAGGGAAACAGCCCAGACCCACAGCUAAGGUCCCAAAAUACAUUUAAGUGGAGAAGGAUGUGGGAUUGCGAAAACAACCAGGAUGUUGGCUUAGAAGCAGCCACACAUUUAAAGAGUGCGUAAUAGCUCACUGGUCGAGUGAUCCUGCGCCGAAAAUUUAACGGGGCUAAAAUGUAUACCGAAGCUUGGGAUUCGCAGUGCACAUUUAAGAUAUGCACAAGGCAAAGCACAUGGCAUGCGAAGCAUGGCAUCAAAUUGUCCGAAAGGAUAAAGCGUAUGUCUUAAAUGUGCACUGUGAGUGGUAGAGGAGCUUUCUGUAUGGGGAGAAGUAUGACCGGAAGGACAUGUGGACUGUACAGAAGAGAGAAUGCCGGAAUGAGUAGCGAGAAUUAUGUGAGAAUCAUAAUGGUCGAAAACCUAAGGUUUCUUGAGGAAGGUUCGUCCGCUCAAGGUAAGCCGGGAGCUAAGGCGAGGCCGAAAGGCGUAGUCGAUGCACAUACGGUAGAUAUUCCGUAGCCGCCGAAAUCGAUAACAUAUAUGGGGACGCAGGAGAGGAGCCUGACCCGGGCGUUGGUAGACCCGGGCGAAAGGGAGCGAAAAUAAGUAGCGAAGCAGGCGAAAUCACACUGACGAGAAAAGCCAUAUAUGUGGAUUAGGUGCCCGUACCGUAAACCGACACAGGUGGGUGAGGAGAGAAUCCUAAGACCAGCGGGAGAAGUGUUGUUAAGGAACUCGGCAAAAUGACCCCGUAACUUCGGGAAAAGGGGAGCCUGCUACGGCAGGCCGCAGAGAAUAGGUCCAAGCGACUGUUUACCAAAAACACAGGUCUCUGCUAAGUCGAAAGACGAAGUAUAGGGGCUGACGCCUGCCCGGUGCUGGAAGGUUAAGGGGAUUUGUUAGGGGUAACCCGAAGCAAAGAACUUAAGCCCCAGUAAACGGCGGCCGUAACUAUAACGGUCCUAAGGUAGCGAAAUUCCUUGUCAGGUAAGUUCUGACCCGCACGAAAGGCGUAACGAUUUGGACGCUGUCUCAACAACACGCCCGGUGAAAUUGUAGUACCGGUGAAGAUGCCGGUUACCCGCGACUAGACGGAAAGACCCCAUGGAGCUUUACUGUAGCUUGAUAUUGAGAUUCGGUAUUUUAUGUACAGGAUAGGUGGGAGGCUGAGAGACAUGGACGCCAGUCUGUGAGGAGCCGCCGUUGGGAUACCACUCUUAAAAUAUUGAAUUUCUAACCGGACGCCAUAAGCUGGUGACGGGACACUGUCAGGUGGGCAGUUUGACUGGGGCGGUCGCCUCCGAAAGAGUAACGGAGGCGCUCAAAGGUUAGCUCAGUACGGUCGGAAAUCGUACGCAGAGUGUAAACGCAGAAGCUAGCCUAACUGCGAGAGAGACAUCUCGAGCAGUAACGAAAGUUGGAGUUAGUGAUCCGGCGGUAGAGAGUGGAAUUGCCGUCGCUCAACGGAUAAAAGUUACCCUGGGGAUAACAGGCUGAUCUCCCCCAAGAGUCCACAUCGACGGGGAGGUUUGGCACCUCGAUGUCGGCUCAUCGCAUCCUGGAGCUGUAGUCGGUUCCAAGGGUUGGGCUGUUCGCCCAUUAAAGCGGUACGCGAGCUGGGUUCAGAACGUCGUGAGACAGUUCGGUCCCUAUCUGUCGUGGGCGCAGGAGAUUUGAAAGGAGCUGUCCUUAGUACGAGAGGACCGGGAUGGACGUACCACUGGUGCACCAGUUGUUCUGCCAAGAGCAUAGCUGGGUAGCUACGUACGGACGGGAUAAACGCUGAAGGCAUCUAAGCGUGAAGCCCCCCUUAAGAUAAGAUCUCCCACAGCGAAAGCUGGUAAGGUCACAUGUAGACUACAUGUUUGAUAGGCCGGAGGUGGAAGUGCAGUAAUGUAUGGAGCUGACCGGUACUAAUAGACCGAGGGCUUGACCAA